GCGGGGGUAGCCAAGUCUGGUCAAAGGCGGCGGGCUUAAGACCCGCUCCCGAAGGGGUUCGUGGGUUCGAAUCCCACCCCCCGCA
rnacentral:tRNA from 3 species